UUUCAUGAAGGGUUAAUUGUUCACCAUUCCCAAUGACUUUACAUCAUUGGUUCUCUCCUAGUUUACAUCGUUUAUGCAACGGACAUUCUGUGUGAAUAAUGACAUGGAUCAUUGACCCAUAAUUGAAAGGCCUAAUGCAAACAUUUGGUUCAAGUACAUUUUAAGGAUCAUAAUUAUGAAAGGGCUGCUCAAUUGCUUGCACAACCAUAUCAAUGGAAUAUCUAGAGCUUGCGUGCAAUUUAGUAUCUCGUAAGAAAUGGAGAUUUUGAUUUCAAAUUUAUUACUUCUCUUCACACUUUAAUAAAAUUCUGCUUAUUGAAAAAGGAAAAAUAAAUGAACAGCACAGAGAAAGCUUAUUGGUAGAAAGCAGUUUCAUGCUUGAAAGCAUUCUUCUGUCAUAGGGUUGUUUGUAUUUUCAUCUACUGCAGAAUUGUUUGGACAUGAUCAUAGGCCGAGUCAAGUCGCAUACAAACUAGCAGAUAACUAUGAACAGAGUUGGAAAACAACUGAAAUCUAUCAUUGUGGGACAUGGAUGAAGCUUCCUAUACUUGGAUUUGGACAUUGACUAUGAGUUGGUGGUAAAAUAUGAAGAAUUUAUAUUUCCAUGGAAAGGGAUUGUAACCUUUCAGACAAAAUGAAUGAUUUUUCCUUUUAAUUAAUUUGUUAUUUUCUCUUCUAAAUGAAUUUCUAUGAAUGCACUAAGUUAGUUCUUUAAA